CGCGUAGGCGGGACUGCAAGUCAGAUGUGAAAUCUGGGGGCUUAACCCUCAAACUGCAUUUGAAACUGUAGUUCUUGAGUAUCGGAGAGGCAGGCGGAAUUCCAAGUGUAGCGGUGAAAUGCGUAGAUAUUUGGAGGAACACCAGUGGCGAAGGCGGCCUGCUGGACGACAACUGACGCUGAGGCGCGAAAGCGUGGGGAGCAAACAGGAUUAGAUACCCUGGUAGUCCACGCUGUAAACGAUGAAUACUAGGUGUGGGGGGACUAACCCCCUCCGUGCCGGAGUUAACACAAUAAGUAUUCCACCUGGGGAGUACGGCCGCAAGGUUGAA
rnacentral:rRNA from 1 species